rnacentral:rRNA from 1 species
GACGAACGCUGGCGGCGUGCUUAACACAUGCAAGUCGAACGGUAAGGCCCUUCGGGUACACGAGUGGCGAACGGGUGAGUAACACGUGGUGAUCUGCCCUGCACUUCGGAUAAGCCUGGGAAACUGGGUCUAAUACCGGAUAGGACCAUGGACUUCACGGUUUGUGGUGGAAAGCUUUUGCGGUGUGGGAUGGGCCCGCGGCCUAUCAGCUUGUUGGUGGGGUAAUGGCCUACCAAGGCGACGACGGGUAGCCGGCCUGAGAGGGUGUCCGGCCACACUGGGACUGAGAUACGGCCCAGACUCCUACGGGAGGCAGCAGUGGGGAAUAUUGCACAAUGGGCGCAAGCCUGAUGCAGCGACGCCGCGUGAGGGAUGACGGCC